rnacentral:lncRNA from 1 species
CGUCGUUUCUUACAUCAUUCCUAGUGAUUUAUCCCCUGACCAAAAUUGCUUUGUCUCUAAUUUGCUUGAUAAUAAAGAAGCAUUAAAUUGGUUUAGGAGAACAUUAGUGAUACUUGUUCUAUAGGGGUAAACGAUGGUCAUGUGCUAGAGAAAGUCUUCGUGCCUAAAAAUUUUCGCACACAUUUUGACUCUUUCUCGAAGCUUCCUCCCAUAUUUCCUUCCGGAAUUGGCUGAUUCGCUUCGGUCUUCGAACCUUCCCUCGUGAAGUUCAGGUAUGGGGAAGGAAAUGUGU